rnacentral:rRNA from 1 species
GACAGAGGUGCCGAGCGUUAGGCGGAAUCACUGGGCCUAAAGCGUGUGUAGGCGGAUCUGUAAGUACCUUGUGAAAUCCCACGGCUCAACCGUGGAACUGCUUGGUAUACUGCGGGUCUUGAGCCACCUAGGGGCAAGUGGAACAAACGGUGGAGCGGUGAAAUGCGUAGAUAUCGUUUGGAACGCCAAUGGUGAAAACAAUUUGCUGGGGGUGUGCUGACGCUGAGACACGAAAGCCAGGGGAGCAAACGGG